rnacentral:rRNA from 1 species
CAGUGGGACGAAAAAAUGACGGUACCCACAGAGGAAGCCCCCGGCUAACUACGUGCCAGCAGCCGCGGUAAGACGUAGGGGGCGAGCGUUGUUCGGAAUUACUGGGCGUAAAGAGCUCGUAGGCGGGCUAAUAAGUCUUGCAACAAAGACUACGGCUUAACUGUAGGAAGUUGUGGGAUACUGUUAGUCUUGAGAACAGGAGAGGGGAGUGGAAUUCCUAGUGUAGCGGUGAAAUGCGUAGAUAUUAGGAGGAACACCAGUGGCGAAGGCGACUCUCUGGCCUGUUUCUGACGCUGAGGAGCGAAAGCCGGGGGAGCGAACGGGAUUAGAUACCCCGGUAGUCCCGGCUGUAAACGAUGGACACUAGGUGUAGGAGGUAUCGACCCCUUCUGUGCCGCAGUUAACACAUUAAGUGUCCCGCCUGGGGAGUACGGUCGCAAGACUAAAACUCAAAGGAAUUGACGGGGU